rnacentral:rRNA from 1 species
UACGGGAGUGGCAAGCGUUAUCCGGAAUUAUUGGGCGUAAAGCGUCCGUAGGCGGUUAUUCAAGUCUGCUGUCAAAGACUACAGCUCAACUGUGGAAAGGCAGUGGAAACUGAGGAACUGGAGUGCGGUAGGGGUAGAGGGAAUUCCCAGUGUAGCGGUGAAAUGCGUAGAUAUUGGGAAGAACACCAGUGGCGAAGGCGCUCUACUGGGCCGUAACUGACGCUGAGGGACGAAAGCUAGGGG